rnacentral:rRNA from 1 species
UCAUUAGUUUUUUAAUUGAAAACUUGUAUGAAAGGUUGAACAAAAGAAGUUCUGUCUCUAUUUUUAAUAUUGAAUUUAACUUUUAAGUGAAAAGGCUUAAAUUUUUUAAGGGGACGAUAAGACCCUAUAAAGCUUUAUAAAAAAUAUAAUAAUUUCUAAAAAUAAUUUGUAUUAUGAAUAUAUUUGUUUUUUAUUUUAUUGGGGCGAUUCGGAUAAAAUUAUAAUUAACUGUCAGUAUGAGAUACAUAAAUUUAUGUAAAUUUAAAUGAUCCUAAUUAAAGAUUAAAAGACAAAGUUACUUUAGGGAUAACAGCGUUAUUUCUUUUAAGAGUUCUUAUUGAAAAAGAAGUUUGCGACCUCGAUGUUGAAUUAAAAUAUCUUUACAGUGCAGUCGUUGUAAGAAGAAGGUCUGUUCGACCUUUAAUUUUUUA